ACCCAGCUGACGAAUCUCAAGUGGGACGAAACGCGUGUCCUGGAU
rnacentral:hammerhead_ribozyme from 1 species